AUCAGGCAGCUCGGGCGAGGAGGCUCUCUUGGCAGCGGCGGCGACUCUGAGGCCAGGCGUCGUCGUUUCCCGCAGCAAGCACCUGAGAAGCGCGGCGGCUCAACAAUCUUCUGUGGUGCAAGCAGCAGACGUCACACAAGACGAGUCAACUUCAGUGCAAGCUUUUGAGGCUUCCCAAGUUACAGAACCCUGCAGCGGUGGCCAUGUCCACCUUGGCAUCAUCUGCAAGUCCUCACGUAGUGAGUAUCAGUGCACCACAGCAGGUCAUACACGUCCACCAGUUGCACUUGGGGGAAUGCCUCCGUGGGCCAUGAGCCCAGUCUGGCCUUUUCUAGACCCAUUGAGUUAGGAGAUACACAGGAAUUUGAAACCCCUCUGCAGGCAACCCCAGAAGCAUGUGUGUCUGUUUGGCAACCCACACCCACUUCUACCAAGCAAGCAGUUUCUGAGACCCAGACAUCUGCAACCCCUAUUAUUGAAUGCACUGCUCCUGUGCCAAUUUGACCUUCGUAAACUAUACAAACUGAAUUAGAAACCAAUAAAGAGGAGCCAAGGUGUGAUCCUUAUUCCUCUGCUAAGCGGUGUAAUACCCUUAUAGAGCAAUUUCUACGCCUAUCGGAUGUCAUCUAUUACAUGCCACCAAAGAAAGAUUUGAAAGGGUGAUUUUUUGAUCUGUCUCUCUCUUAUUUAGAGAGGAAGAACAGAAAGACAAAGAUAAUAACAAUGAGAGAAAUCAGGAGCGUAAUAAGAAGAGAAAGGUUGAGAGAACCUGGGCCAAUUAGUUGGCCGGAUAUAUAAUAUUCAUAAGAGUGGCUUUAUCGAAGCACCACGAAAAGGCAACAGUGUUAAUUAAAUGUUUGGAUAAUUUAGAUGUUAUACUGAAUAUGUAUGCCCAGCAUGGCUGGGGUAGGAUGAGGCUUUUCAGAUUGAAGGCCCAGUUUAACCUAGAAGUUAAACGGGACGUGUAAGAGCCAGAUUUAUGGCUACAAUUUAUGACCCCAGCUAGACUAAUCUCUGGCGAAAGAGCGGAUAGUGGGCAUAUUCUGUCACGCCCGGAUGGCCCCUUUCAGCAUAAAGGGCAUGAUGAGCAAUCAGUUCAGCCCCGAUUAUUGUGUGGGGAGUUUAACUCCAAGGGCACGUGUGCGCGGACACAGUGCAAGUUCAAGUAUGAAUGCUCUAUUUGUGGUGGGGAUCACCCAUACUCUGGAUGUCCCAAGAUCAAGAAGGGUGGAAUGGAAUUCCGCCCUAGUAACAAGCCCAAUGUAUCCAGCCCUGUUACAAAGGGCCCCAGCCCAAUUAAGACCCCGAACUAUCCUUAGCUUUACGCGAUUAUAUACCUCAGGAUGUCGCGUCUUUUCUUUUCGAGAAGUUUAUGUUUGGCUUUAGAAUUCCUUUUCAGGGUCCUCCGAUCCAAGUUUCUAAGAAUCAGGCUUCCAUUAAUUCAAUGGAGGAUCUGGUUCGAGGGGGGGGGAAUUCUAAAGGAAGUGAUUGCUUGUAGGGUUUUAGACCCUUUUUUGCGCAACCUCCCCUGCCUCGUUCGAGGCUUUCUUACCUGGGCAAUGUGCCCAAGAAAUCCCCGAGAGAAUAUCGAUUGAUUUGCUGGAUUUCAGUAAGCAGUCUUGCAGUCUGCCCAGAGAUAAGCUAGAAUAUCUCAACGACCUCGUAGAAACCAUAUCCAAGGCCCAUAAGAUCACUAUGAGGCAACUUCAGGAGCUGACAGGCUACCUGAAUUUUGCCUACAGAGUGAUAGCACCUUGAAAGGCAUCGUCCAGGCUAUUAUACGAUGCGAUGAAAGGGGUCAAGCGACCCCUUCAUCGCAUACAGGUAUUGGUUGAAAGGAGAGCUGACCUGGUGGUAUAGGCGUCUUUUUUGAACCAAUUCAAUGGCAUUCCUUUUUGAGUGCUGACUUUCUUCUAGAAGUUCAGUUACAACGGCACUCAGAUGCGUCUGGGUCAUAUGGCUUCAGAGUGAUCCUUAAUGAACGCUGGUGCGCUCAACAAUGGCCAAUGAGUUAGAGAGAAGAAGACCUUGCUGGAAUUUUUCCUAUUGUCAUAGCAGUCUGGCAGUGGGCUGACCUCCUUUCCAAUUCAUCCAUACACUUCGGUGUGAUAACCAAGCCACAAUGCAGGUUGUCAAUUCUAUUUUCCAAACAAGCGAGUAAUGAGACUAGUCAGAGCUUUGAUGCUCCUUUGCCUCCAGUUUAAUAUCACAUUUUAUGCAAGGCAUGUUCCCGGGCUAGAUAAUGGAAUUGCUGAUGCCUUGUCGCGCAACCGGAUUUCCAGGUUCCCGGAAUUGGCCCCAGCAGAUAGAUAGUUUCCAGAUCCCAUGCCCAGAUACUUGGGGAUCUUGGAGGGACAAAGCGUUGGAAGCCAUGAACAGGUCUGUAGCCCCAUGUACCAGAGCGCUACAUGAGCGCGCAGGUAGAGAAUUCGAUGCUUUUCUGAUCUCCUCAGAUUUAGCAGCUCAAUGGCCUAUUCCCAUGGACCACAUAAUGCAGUUCCACGUGGCUUCGCACAGUAGAGGCGUAGCCAUCGGGACUUUGAAAUGGAAAUUGGCAUUUUUUUUGUCAUUUGAGGCUAAGACUAUGGAGUUCGAGGGCACACACCUCGGACACUAGACUCAAGCGUGCGCUUGAGGGCUGGGGCUGGAAUUGCUCCAGCCCCUUCCGGCAAACGCAAGCCAAAUAACCUGGAUAUACUGUUGGGACUACGUCAACAGUAGAUAGCAAUAUGUUCAUCACCUUAUGAACAGGAUUUAUUUCAUGCCAGUGCCUUGAUAAUGUUUUUUAGUGUGUUCCAAGUUAGCGAGGUACUGGCAUUCUCUAUGAAGGACGUGUCUAACAAAGCUUUUCAAAUUAAGGACAUUCAAUUCUCGGGGACGAGAUUAGGAUUGCCCUUAGGCAAUCUAAGAUGGAUCAGAAAGCUAGAGACUCUAGUAUAAUAGCGUCUGCUAGAUGUUUUGAAAUUUGCCCAGUAGCAGCAAUGAGAGCCUUGUUUACUAGAAGACUCGGCAGGGCUACCAUUCCGACAGGUGGACAAGUCCCCAGUGACCGAGUUCCAGUUUUGGUCUGUAGACAAGAAGGUGUUACAGGCUACGGGACUAGAUAAUUGCCAAUUUGGAACACACCCCUUCCAAAUUGGAGCGGCAACUACAGCGGCAGUGGCCGGGAUGCCUGAAACAAAGAUUGGGGCCAUAGGUAGAUGGCGUUCCAGAGCCUUCAAGACCUAUGUCCGUUACUAAUUGGAUAUGGAAUUAAUGUUUUUAUUUCCACCAGAUUUUGAGUCAAGAUUUGAACCUCCCCUGAUUCUAAUGUGAACACAGUGUGGUGUUCUGGGCCAGUCGCAGAGCGUCUCAGACAGACAUGGGUCUUUGCUGAGGCUUGGACUGGCAGCCGUCGUUCACUGGGUUGGACGACGAGGUUGAGAUGGGGAGGUCUAUUUCAUACAAGAUUGGAACCUCCCCUGAUUCUAAUGUGAACACAGUGGUGUUCUGGGCCAGUCACAGAGCGUCUCAGACAGACAUGGGUCUUUGCUGAGGCUUGGACUGGCAGCCGUCGUUCACUGGGUUGGACGGCGAGGUUUGAGAUGGGGAGGUCUAUUUCAUACUCUAUCACAAUUUGAGGUUAAGUUUGGCCCUCCACAGGUGUUGGUGAUUCACCUGGGAGGCAAUGAUUUAGGCCUUCUAAAAGGAAAGGCCGUGAUUAUACAGGCUGAAGAGGAUUUCGAAUAUAUUUGGAGACGAUGGCCACUGUCGUGGAUCGUCUGGUCUUGCAUGUUGCCUCGGCGCCAUUGGCGUGAGGGACUUAAUAUUAAAGGUUUAAAUAGGGCGGUUCACAAGGUGAACAGAGAAAUUAGAGAGUUUUGUGGGGAAAGCGGGGAUGGGUCAUCCCGCACCCCGAUAUUGCACCGGACAGAACAGAGCUUUAUAGGGCAGAUGGAGUCCACCUUUCCGAUGCAGGAAAUGAUAAUUUCCUGCAGGAUCUGAGUGUGGGACUGCGGGAUUUUUUCCCUGGUCGGUGGGGGAAAGGGGACCUAAGCUGAGGCUUGGUCCCCUUUUGUGGCAGGAAGGUGCGGGAAUCUAAACCUAAGACAGGGACGGUGAGCCCACUGGCACCCUGGGCGGUGAGCUGCAUAGCCAGAGGACCUGCUCCUCGGGGUUGUGCGGCUUGCGAGUCAGGCUAUGGCGUGCAGUUGGAGACCAUACUGACUGCAUCUACCCACUGUCCCUUAUGGCAGUGGGCGGGGGGUGCAGUGGGAUGGUCUCUCCACACUCUCAGAGUGUCGUACAGGCAGGGAGCCGGUGAAACGGCUUCUUGCCUGGAGAGUGGCUCGCCCUUUGGCAGGCAGUAGGCCUGAGUAGAUGUGAGAUUCCCGCACUGUCACACUCAGAUCCGGGGAGGGUUGGAUUAACAGAAUUAUUCAAUAAAAGAGGCCCUAGUUAUACCCAA